GUUUUAGUAGUUUAAAAAAAACUUUGGUCUUGUAAACCAAAAAUGAAAAAAUUUUCCUGAAACU
rnacentral:tRNA from 1 species